GAGCGUAGGUGGCCUAACAUGUCAACUGUGAAAACCCGGAGCUCAACUCCGGACUUGCAGUUGAAACUGGUAGGCUUGAGGACGGUAGAGGAAGACGGAACUGCCAGUGUAGGGGUAAAAUCCUUAGAUAUUGGCAGGAACGCCGGUGACGAAGGUGGUUUUCUGGGCCGGUUCUGACACUGAUGCUCGAAAGCCAGGGGAGCGAACG
rnacentral:rRNA from 1 species